rfam:Oryza meridionalis cultivar OR44 (W2112) chromosome 3, whole genome shotgun sequence.
GAGAGCACAGUACGAUGAAAGUUGUAAGCUGUGUUCGGGGGGGAGUUAUUGUCUAUCGUUGGCCUCUAUGGUAGAACCCGUCGGGGAGGCCUGAGAGGCGGUGGUUUACCCUGU